GGGUUAGGGUUAGCAGGAGACGGGGUUAGCAGGAGACGGGGUUAGGGUUAGCAGGAGACGGAGUUAGGGUUAGCAGGAUACGGAGUUAAGGUUAGCAGGAGACAGGGUUAGGGUUAGCAGGAUACGGGAUUAGGGUUAGCAGGAUACGGGGUUAGCAGGAGACGGGGUUAGGGUUAGCAGGAGACUGAGUUAGGGUUAGUAGGAGACGGAGUUAGGGUUAGCAGGAGACGGAGUUAGGGUUAGCAGGAGACGGGGUUAGGGUUAGCAGGAGACGGGGUUCGGGUUAGCAGGAGACGGGGUUAGGGUUAGCAGGAGACGGAGUUAGGGUUAGCAGGAGACGGAGUUAGGGUUAGCAGGACACGGAGUUAGGGUUAGCAGGAGACGGAGUUAGGGUUAGCAGGAUACGGGGUUAGGGUUAGCAGGAUACGGGGUUAGCAGGAGACGGAGUUAGGGUUAGCAGGAUACGGAGUUAAGGUUAGCAGGAGACGGGGUUAGGGUUAGCAGGAUACGGGGUUAGGGUUAGCAGGAUACGGGGUUAGCAGGAGACGGAGUUAGGGUUAGCAGGAGACGGAGUUAGGGUUAGCAGGAGACGGAGUUAGGGUUAGCAGGAGACGGGGUUAGGGUUAGCAGGAGACGGAGUUAGGGUUAGCAGGAGACGGGGUUAGGGUUAGCAGGAGACUGAGUUAGGGUUAGCA